rnacentral:rRNA from 1 species
UACGGGGGGAGCAAGCGUUGUUCGGAUUUACUGGGCGUAAAGGGCGCGUAGGCGGCCAGUGCAAGUCAGUUGUGAAAUCUCCGAGCUUAACUCGGAAAGGUCAACUGAUACUGCUCGGCUAGAGUGCGGAAGGGGCAACUGGAAUUCUUGGUAUAGCGGUGAAAUGCGCAGAUAUCGGGAGGAACACCGGUGGCGAAGGCGGUUCUCUGGGCCUGACCUGACGCUGAGGAGCGAAAGCCAGGGGAGCAAACGGG